rnacentral:rRNA from 1 species
GAUGAACGCUAGCGGCAGGCUUAAUACAUGCAAGUCGAGGGGCAUCAAGGUACACGAAAGUGUAUUGUUGGCGACCGGCGGACGGGUGAGUAAUAGGUAGGUAACCUACCUCAUACUGAGGCAUAGCUGGGAGAAAUUCCAGGUAAUUCCUCAUGAGGUUAUAUGACACAUGUGAUAUAAUCAAAGGUAUCGCAAGGUACUGGUAUGAGAUGGGCUUACUGACCAUUAGCUAGUUGGUGAGAUAAGAGCUCACCAAGGCGAAGAUGGUUAGGGGUUUUGAGAGAGAGAUCCCCCACAUUGGAACUGAGAUACGGUCCAGACUCCUACGGGAGGCAGCAGUAGGGAAUUUUCCGCAAUGGGCGAAAGCCUGACGGAGCAACGCCGCGUGAGGGAAGAAGGUCUUCGGAUCGUAAACCUUUGUCAUCGGGGACGAUCAUGACGGUACCCGAGGAGGAAGCCCCGGCUAACUACGUG